GACGAACGCUGGCGGCGUGCUUAACACAUGCAAGUCGAACGGAAAGGCCCUGCUUUUGUGGGGUUCUCGAGUGGCGAACGGGUGAGUAACACGUGAGUAACCUGCCCUUGACUUUGUGAUAACUUCAGGAAACUGGGGCUAAUACCGGAUAGGAUCUCCUGCUGCAUGGGGGGGGUUGGAAAGUUUCGGCGGUUGUGGAUGGACUCGCGGCUUAUCAGCUUGUUUGUGGGGUAGUUGCUUACCAAGGCUUUGACGGGUAGCCUGCCUGAGAGGGUGAACGGGCACAUUGGGACUGCGAUACGGAGCAGAAUCCUACGGGAGGCAGCAGUGGAGAAUAUUGCAGAAUAGGCGGAAGCCUGAUGCAGCAACGCCGCGUGCGUGAUGACGGCCUUCGGGUUGUAAACAGAUUUCGAAUGUGACGAAGAGUGAGUGACGGUAAUGGGUAAAGAAGCCCCGGCUAACUACGUG
rnacentral:rRNA from 1 species